UGGGAUUCCAGCAUAUGCUGAAAACUAGUGAGACAUCAGCCUUGUGGACUGAGCAACUACUGGAUUGUUGGACUUUCUGUUCACAGCCAACCAACAUUGAAUUAGCUCGAGUACAGCUGGCCCUUGCUCUGAACACUACUAUCAAGGAGCUGUUUCCAUCUGCUGUCGCCGAGCACUGCCCACCAGACACCGAGCACUGCCCACCAGACACCGAGCACAGCCCACCAGACACCGGAAAACCUUGGGUGUCUCAGACAAUGGCCACGCGUUAGAUGUGCCUCACUUAGCUGAACAAAAACUUCAAACCACAUUUGACUGGUUUCCAAAUGACAGCAGCUGCGGGUCAGUCUCAAAGAGGAACGCCUGCGCAUGCGUUCCGCGCUACUCCCUGCCCACUUGAGGCUGCCUGGGACCCACUGGAGGUGAAAUCAGGGGCCUCUUCAUUCUAGAAGGCUUCAGUGGGCUGGAGAGACAGAGAUGGCUCACGAAGUUUAGAGAACGCCUGAGGAGUCAAGCAACCUAUCAGAGGCCACUCAGCCAGGAAGCAGAGAGAAGAAGGUUGCAAUGUGAACUCGGCCACUCCAGAAGGCAAGCUACUUAAACUCGC
ensembl:lncRNA LOC120103039 uncharacterized LOC120103039